rnacentral:rRNA from 1 species
CUNUACGAGGUCAGNCUGACCAGUGACCAUGUUCANCGGNCGCGGUAUCCUAACCGUGCGAAGGUAGCGUANUCACUUGUUCUANAACUGUGGACUAGUAUGAAUGGCAUCACGAAGGUUAUACUGUCUCCUGACANCUAAUCAGUGAAACUANUCUUCCCGUGAAGAAGCGGGAAUAACCCUAUAAGACGAGAAGACCCUAUGGAGCUUAAANCAAUAUAACAUCUGCUACACAACUUAUUAACUUCCGAACACUUAAUUUUAUAAGCAAUAUGUUUAUGAGUUUAUGGUUGGGGUGACCGCGGANCAUAACACAACCUCCACAUUGAAAGNACUUUUUCUAAGCUGAGAAUUACAAAUCUGANCAUCAGUAUUCUGACAUCCAUUGACCCAAUAUAUUGNACAACGANCCAAGUUACCCUAGGGAUAACANCNCAANCCACCUCNAGAGCUNCUAUCGACAAGUGGGUUUACGUCCUCGAUGUUGGAUCAGGGUAUNCCAGUGGUGCACCCGCUACCNAAGGNUCGUCCCGNU